ensembl:lncRNA
CACCAGGCCGAGUGUGUAUUCAUCGCACAUAUUCUUUGACCCCAGAGAGCAUCAGUCCACUCCCUUUCUCCCUUUCCUCCCAACCGAGCCCCCGCUCUGAUCUAUUCCGGGGGGUGUUGUGGCUAGGAGGGUGUGUGAGUGCGUUUGCAGCCCUGCCCAGUAAAAUACAGACUUUCCAAGGAAGUCGGCAAUAUAAUAUGGCCGCUUUAUUGUAAUUACAAGCUUCUCCUUUUGGAAAUAGCUCACCGAGAGAAAGCUGCCCACAGUUUUGAAUCGUCCUAAUCCCUGAAGUCUCUCUGGCUUGCGUUGACCCAGAUGUUUCACCACACCAGGCGGCUCUAUCAGCUGGAUGCGAGUCCCCCUCGACAUUACAACCUGUCAAGAUUCCGCCGCCGUCGCACUGGAUGAAGUGUGAGAAAGGAGUUUGCAUGCCAUUCGUCUAAAUGCAGACGGAUUCACGUCAGCUACAAGGAAGCACAACACGUCAAGUAAAUGGAGGCAAGGCACAUAAUCACGUGAACAAUCACCUGUCCUAAACCGGCUUUAUGGGGGACGCAUCAUGCUUAUUUUCAAUGAUUGUAGGUGUCUGUGUACAUCUUUAUGUUGAUUGAGCACUACCACAGUAUACUUUUUAUGCAAUACCUAGACUGCUUAGUAAUCAAAAAGACAUUUAAAUCCCACAUUCUACAACAAGAUACCUUUAAGAUAGAGACACUCUAAAAAAAAUCUAAAAAUGAGGCAAGCAAGAUUCUUGAAAAGCAUCAACAACUCUUCGAGGUUUUUAUAUCGCAGCCUGCUUUAAUGAGGCCAUGGUUUGAUGAAUUGACAUACAAGAUAGAAUAAUUGUAAGGUAAAUGCAGCAAUAUGAACAAUAUUGUUGAAAAAUGUGGACAGAUAACAGAAAUACUGAAAAAAAUGAUUUUUAUUUGACAAAUAUCCAUAAAGUGAAGCUGAACACAGACACACACACACACACACACACACACAAAUCAAGCAUUCACAUAUUCACAAGCAUAACAUACUUCAUUCCAUGUGAUUACAGUCCCUGAGUAUGAAUUCAUGACUUUAAGUGGAUAAAAACUUUACAUGCCUACACAUGCAAAGUGGAGCACAAACACAUUCCACAGAUGUCUCUUGGGAUGUUCUUUUUACGACAUGUGGCAUCUACUUUCAGGGCACAAGGGAACAGAAGCAGACUGUUUGUGUCUAAAAACAAAUGUCUGUCCACUGCGCCCAAGCCAUAAUAAAGUCUGAGCUGCCCCAGCGAGGGAUCGCUUCCUGGUGAGAAUAACCGCAACGUACAGCGUGUACAAAGGAGGGGAGUAGCUUCCAUCCAGUAUUCACACAGUCUCUCUGUAAUCAAUCUUGUUUAAUUAAAUGUUUCAUAAUUUGCUAUGGUACUCUUUUUUUUUUUUUGGGAUUCCAUCAAAGGCAGCUUUUCAAAAAUGAUUUUCUAUAUUCUCCCUGUGGUUUCCAUAUAUUAUUUUCCUUGUGAUUCUUUAUGGAUAAUUGCGAGAUGCAGCAGCCAAAAGCUCCUUCUCAUUCCAAGUCCAUCCAAGCUCACCCUAUAGUUUCUAAUAUGAAGGCUCUACAAUUGUCUGUUUUGGGCAGGCUUGCAUGCACGGCACAUUACUGCCAAACAUACACAUGGCCGUCAGCAUGUCCCUUUUUUCUUUAUCUGAAAUUUAGUACACAGUAGAAAUGUAUUCCGAGGAUCCAGAUGGUGGAGGCGGGCAUCCUGUUCAUGGGUCAUCAGUAUAAACGCAUACACAACGUAGGAAAGUAAAGGUAUAGCCAGCACUGGCACCUGGAGAGGAGCCCACGGAGGCUUUUAGUGGGUACAGAACUUACUCUUAUAUUUCUUGAUACAAAUGGUGAAUGUAUAAUCACUCAUAUUCUAUUUGUAGUAUUGCUGUCAAACGAUUAAAAUAUUUAAUCACGAUUAAUCACAUUUAUGUCCUAGUUAACUCAAAAAAUCCCGAUUGCAGAUUUUUAUCUGUUUUAAAUGCCCGUUCAUUUUUUUUUUCCAUAAUCUUUUUUCAUUUUAAUGCUCUUAUCAACAUAGAAAAGUGGAUUGACUUUGCAUUCAUUUAUUUAUUUAUUAUAUUGAAUAACAUUGCCAAACAGGGCGGUACAAAAAGACAAAGUGCACAUUUGAGGUAAACAAGGACAUGGCCUAUAGUAUACCGUUAAACCAUGGCUUAAUAUUUCCUUCAUGUGUGGACCACCAUUCCUGGGGUCAUUCAUCCCAAAAUUAAAUAAAAAAGUUUAUCUCGUAAUACAAAAAAUCAUCGUUGUUAAAAUGGGUUUGUAUUAACGUUGUUAAUAACGCAUUUAACUGACAGCGCUAAUUUUUAGUUUAACAAGCGUUUGAAAACAGCAUAAAGGUGUGACUAAUGAAGGUGUUCUGUUACCUUUAUACCGGCUUUAAAAGAUCAUACCACCUUAAGGAACCCAUCUAAUGGACAUGGCUUCAAAUGAUUCCCACAAAACACAAUCUAACACAAAAUGAAUUCAAACAAAAUGAACCUUGACUAUCAUCCAAUUACAGAUCUGAAUCUGCUCUAUCAAACUGGCGGGAUCUAGUUGUGUAGUACUUUGUCUUCUUGUCUACAUUGUCUUCUUGUCUCUGUAUCUUGUGUAGCUGGUUGUAAUGUUAAACUGAUUAUUAUUGUGCUUGGACUGGUGAUUGUUUGAACUACCAGUCAUCCGCUGCCCCACUCAUCAGAGGUAAUGCUACAGGGACACACAGGUUCAGAUUUUAAUGGCCACUUGUGUGUGUGUGUGUGUGUGUGUGUGUGUGUGUGUGUGUGUGUGUGUGUGUUUAGUCUGCUGUCACAGGGAGCGUGGUAACGGCGUUGUGACGGUGUGUCUUCACCCAUUGGAAGUAAGUAACCCGAACGCAUUAUUGCAUUCAUCCUUUUUGGUCAUGAUGGCAAUGAUGCAUUUCAAAGAUAUUUCUUUGUGAUCUGAUCAGCAAACAAACGUCUGUAUGGAGCCAAAUCCAGGUCAAAAGUUUUGUUCAUUUGAAAAACAAAUGUGAACCUAAAAGUUUAGGUUUUGUAUUUGAACGUUGAAAAAUACAACGCUGUAUUCAAAAUAAAAAUAAGUGAAAAUAUAAAAUCUGCAACCGAAAAAUAUAAUACAAUCAUAAAAGAAAUGUGAAGAUUGAAAAAGA